CCUGGUGACCUAGAAGAUCACGAGAGGAAAUGAAGCCACAUGCACUGUAUAGACUUGCAGUGUCCCAUUAAUGAAUUCCCUGUAAGUAAAAUUAGAACUUCAUCUCCUCAGCCCCACAAGCGCAUGUCAAGUGUCCGGUGGCCACCAUGGUGCACAGCACAGACCACCGUCAGCGUUUCCAUCAUCUCAGAAAGCUCGAGUGGACUGGACUGGUUCAUCUCUAACUCCACUCGGUUGGAAUGAGAAGCCAGGAGCGGUUGAUGAGAUCUCCAGCUCACGCUGACCGUUGGACCCGGAGCCCAGGAAAGAGGAGGAGCCAGGGCUCCAGCUGCAUCGGUGGACCCCUGGCCACUCAGUGGGAAUCGGGGCUGAGCGCAGCGUCUUUGGGAGCAGCACCCUCCCGGACGGGCAGGCAGUACGGAGGGACGCCACAUCUUGCAAAGGUUCUCUGUUGCCCAGCGCUGUGGUGCUGCAGCUUCUGCUUCUGUGGUGCCCGCAGGGUCCCACUCAUCCUGCAUCUUUGCAGUUUUGCAGACGACCCCUUCUCAUCCUCCGAGAUGGAUUUACAGAAAGCUAAAGAAUGUCAGCCUUAGGGCCUCUCCUGCACAGCACCUGCCAAGCCCCUCUAUCCCUGGAAAGGGGCCCUAGCAAUGUGUUUGUAUGACAAUGAAUUUUUAAGAAUUUUGCUAAAGUAAGAUGCUUUGCUUGUGCUUGGCUAAACCCACUGGCUCUUCCCGCUCUGAUGCCCUGGCCUUGCACUCCAGCGUCAUGACAGCAGGGGCAGCGGGGAUGUUCCUGGAGGUACCCCCGCCCCACAGAGCCAGCUCCCAGAGCCUUACCCAUACCACACUGACCAUGUACCUCGCUGGCACGUCUGCAGGUGCCCCAGCUCACGUCCACCGUGACCUGAGCCCCAGAUGCAUGCUCCAAGCCUUGCCAUGUGGUUUCACGGUGUUUUACGGAAUGUAAACAUCUAUUUUGAGAUGGAAGAGGAACUCAAACACUGGUGCAAGAUCCGAAAGUUUAUUUAAAAAGUUAAUAAAGCUCAAGGACACCGUUUUAGCUGCA
rnacentral:lncRNA from 12 species